UGUGGUGAUGUUCUGUUUUCUCUGACAAAGGUUGCACAAACGAUAGAAAAGAGACUGACUCCCACAGCAUGUUCCAGGCGGUAGGGUGAGCACUUCCAGGAAGAGAGCCUGUGACCUCCUUCUAACCGGCCUCAUUUUUCCGCGUAGACCUCCGGCUUCUGAGCCCUGGCUCAGGCCAGGAAGCUGCUCCGGGCUGCAGGCGCUGGGUUUGUACAUAGCAGUUGUUACUGGGUCCUGGCUUCGGUGCAUGGGUACGAUGCUGGAAGGAAACAAGCACUGAGAGGCAGGGCUGCAGAAAUAGGAUACCCAUGAUUGUUUUGGUAGUGACACCCUCAGAAAGGCACAAGAUCAACACAGCCUGAUCAGGGAGGCUGACUGGAUAGGAGAAGGGAGGUCAUCCACCUGUGCCAGCCCACACGGCAGAGAAAGGACUGAACAGAACUGCAGGAGCCCAGGAGGAUGUUGUCAUGGGUAAGGGUAGUGGAAGAAGAACCAAGGAGGAAAGGGGGCACGUUCACAGCAACCACAGAAUAUUGCUGCAACAAGCAUCAGAAAAAUGCUUGAAUACAGGGCAAUGGUCCCAUCUUCCUAAUCCAGCUCUUAAAGGGUUUAUCCUUGUGUAUCUAUGUAGCUGUCUCUGAAGGAGGAGUCCUGUUUAUGUCCCUUAUUUAGGUAUACAUUUCUCCAGAUUGGGAUUUCAUAAGAGGACAGCUGCUGCGUUUUUACUGUGUGUGACAAGCAGCGGUAAAAGCUGUUCAGGGUUCGUGAUGCAAAUGUGUCUAUAUACUGACAUUUAUCCAGCUGCACUUCACAAAGGUAAAUGGGACAUGAGAGUGGUACACUGCCCCCUUUUAAUCCAUUUUCUAUAGACAGGGGUGCUUUGCCUCUCUGCGGGAAAGGCCAGCGCAGCUACUGUGUUAAUAAACACUCAUUUCUCACUGCAGCAUAUGUGCUUCCCAGACUCAUAAAUCCAGGCAACCUGUAGUUGAAUAACAAUUAAAUAUCCACACGUGUUUCCAUUCCACAGUCUGGUGCGCAAAGCUUAGGCCUAAGUGGCUGGACAUCUGCCGUCUGUUUCUCCCACACGUACUGUUUGACAGAGCACCAUUACUUAAUCUUACCCUACUGCCAUUAAAGGUACCUGUAAAACUGGAAUCAGAGCAUCAUCCUACAGACAUGUUGCCAUAUCUCUCAAAAUGAGUGGCGUUCUGUCUCUUGCCCUUUUUUUUUUAUUUUUUUUUUUAAGCAGACUUUAUUGUAAUAGUAACAAAUACUUUUCAUGGUUGUUGGUCUUUCUCUCAGGGUUUCAAGCCAGGGAUUCAGUUUGGCCCUGUUAACAUCAGUGGGAAAUGAGACAUCAUAUUGAAAAGUUAGUUGAGAUGCAGGAUGCUGAUAGAUCCUCACAACAAUUUUGUCGCUUGUAGGAGACCCAGAGACGCAGUAAUGCGGUAAGAUAAACGUAGUGCCUGAUUACAAUGAGUGUAUUGCACUUAUAAGAGGCAUCUCUUAUCAUUAGGCUCUGCAUAUCUGGAGUAAUAACCACCAUAUGUCAGGCAAGACAAUGGUAAUAUGAGCCAGAUAAUUUUUCCAUUGUUAAAACUUCCAAAAUCCAAAAAGCUACAAAGUCUUAAUUCAAUUUAGCUAGAUGUAGUGCUGGUGGCUGGAGGGAAUGGCUUGCUGAGGCUCAGUCUUUCCCCUGGUCUAACAGGCGGAGUGUAAAACGUUAUAGCCACCUAAAGAAGUAAGGACUGUAUGCAGUUGUUACCCAUCUUGUAUUUCUGUGUGGCAGGACUACUGCAGGUACUGCAGUUCAGGUGCUCCCAGAACGUCAGACGUUUGUUCCAGAAAGCUUGAACAGAUAAGCCCUAUAGUUUGCUCUGAACUUAACAAGCCUCCUUCGGUGGUGAAGCUGUAUGAGACACAAGGCCUGUCUUUGCAUUGUUGUAUAGUUACCUAUCAAAAUGCUUGUUCCCUAUAGAACUGGCUGAAACCUUGAAUUUCCUCCCCGACCCCCCCACCCCAAGCGCCUGUCGGCUGCAGGCAAAGUCGUAGCUAUGAUGGCGAGAACAUCCUGAAUUAGUCUCAGUAAUCUGCAUUUCCUUGCCAAAGAUUUUAUCUGCUGGGGGUGCAAAUUGCAACCAUCGAGGUUGCUAGUGUUGAAAAAUCUGCACCCUUCUGUUCCCCAGCACUACCUUUUUCAGGCUAGGUUAGUUUAUCCAGACAAAUUAAUUGACACAUCAAAGCUGUCAAGUGAGAAAGGCCACAGCGAGACAGCACUGCUCUGAACAUUUGCACAAUUUGUAUAUUUGAUUAGGUACCUCCACACUUGUGGAUCAUUGUUAGAAGCAAAUCUUACUUUUGCUGUUUUCAUAUAAGGCUCUGUGCUGUGAUUCUGCAGAUGUUCGUUCUCAGUGUACCUACGUUGUUAAAAAAAAAAUAUGCUGAGAGUAAAAAUUACAUUUGCUCAUUCAAACAUCUUACUAGUUACAUGUAAGAAAAAUCAUAUGCCAAUGACCUAAUGAGAGGCGCAACAUGGACUUCAGCGGGAGGUGGAUGGGGCCCUCAAAAGCUGCUUCUUUUACACAAAUAGUCCCCUGAUAUAUAUAUAUAUAUAUAAUGAAAACCUUCUUUUGUUUAUAAUGACAGAUGCCACAGGGGGUUGUAUAUUUGGAUAUUAUUAUUUUUUCUCUAGGACUGUUUAUUAACAAAUGCUUGAAAGUUUUAUGAUGUGGUGAAAACGGUAUCGCUCAUGAUAAACAGGAAGCGCUCGGCGGUAUUGCAUUACCCCCAUAACGCAACACAGAUUCCAACAGCUUGGCUCUUUUUUUCAAAAUACAGUGACACCACUUCCUUCAGGAAACCUCUCGUCUGCACAGUUCUUAUCUGCUAUAGAUAUGCAAAACUGCAGAAGAAAUGGUUGUUUUAAAAAUGAAUGAUGAUUCAUCAGUUUUGGACUGUAGUAACUUAUACAGUAUCUAUUGAAAAUACACAGUAUGGGCUCCUUGGACUCUCAAGUCCGUGGACUGAACAAAUUGCGCGGAGAAGGGACUACCGCCUUCCCUCCUUGCCGCAGCACAGGUACAGAUGAGAGAGCAAAGAUGCAGAUUUAUUUCCCUGCAGGUGCUUGAGGUGUGUCUCAGCUGUAAAUAGGAGGGUGCCUCUUCUGCAGUUCAGUGUCGGCAAAGCCAGGAUCCGGCCGGGAAAGGAGAGGCGGCAGUCCUGUUUCCUUGUUAUCUGCCAAGGCUAGCAGCAAGGAAGCCAAGUGUGACAGUGCAUUUGUGUGGAACCUUAUAUUCAGAAUAACUGUGCUGUGGCCUCCAACUUGCUCAGAAAGGCUGCCACGCACUCACCGUGUGCUGUUGUUAUCAACGUUGCUUGAAUUUUGAAGCCAUGUCAUUUUUUGUGAAGAUACCAGAAUCCCAUUAGUGUGCUGAUCCCUAGUGCUUGUUUCUCUUCAGCCACUGCCUGUCAUUUACACUAAAUAAAUAAAACCAGCAGACAAACAGGAAGCAUACCUGUGCCACCAGAAUAUCAGUAGCUGCACGUGUAUUAGUGAUGAGCAACAACAUCAGUGAAAGCAAGCCCUUCCUUUUAGAAGAACUGACACCAUUCUCCAGAUUGGUUCCCCAUGAGGGGACUUGUGUGUCUCCCAAGUGCCUUACUUGCACAAAGCUAGAAGCAGUGGGGUCUGGCUAUCACCCCUCCAAAUAGAACCCUUCCAUUCCCAUAGCUCGUUCCCCAUUCAUUUUGCUUUUAUUUUACAUUCUCCCCCCCUCAUAUUCUCUUUUAUUCUGUCCUUCAUCAUCAUUUCUUCUCUGUCCUCACAUCGGCCCACUUCUUCAUCACAAAUGCUCCCUAAAUGUUUAGGUAGGAGCAAGAAAUGCCAAAAAAAUGGAGUUACUGCAGUAUCUGGACAACAUAAAACCCUGAUAAUCGUGUUUCUGCAUUCUUUGACUUCUGCCUCUGUUGGAGGCAUCACUUGUCCUGUCUACAGCUGAACUGAAAACAAGUCAGGGGAGCAGGCUGCAUAUUAUAGUAUUUGUAAAUCAUUAGAUUUCUGAGGUUUUGUAAUAAUCUUACUUCCUUUUUUGUAUUUUCUUGUAUUUUCCUAGGAAUCAAUAAUACCAGAAAUACAGAAAUUGAGAGUGUGGGUAUUAUGCACUAACUAAAUCUUCUCGUAAAAACUUGUAAUAGCCUUCCAGUGCAGGAAGCGUAGGCACAAGAAAACAGUGGCCACGUACCAGGACUUCAGUGGGAUCCUCACAAGUCACUAUAACAUUCUGUAUAAAUAUUGACUAUAUGUAUGUGGUGUUUUGUCCGUCCUGUAAAAUAACUUUUUAUCUGGUGGCUCGAUUCUCUUAUCAUCCAUGGCUUGUUUGCUGAAUUUUAAGUUUUGGGCAAGUUGAAGCAAGCUCCUGAAGAGUAGUUGGUUUUCAAAAGAUACCAGCUCCAGAUAACUGAGGACAAGUAAAGCACACAACAAUAUUGAAAUCACUCAGAGUUUUAUUGCAGCUGACUGAGACAGAGUGUGCUUUGAGGCUGGGAAAUUUCCAUUACUGAAGUGCGGGACAGUGCCUGGAUACUGCUGCUACUGCAGCUGAAAAAUAAAAACAACUUAAUUUUAUAUAGACAACAACAAAAUGUCAGUAUAUUAAUUGAAACGGUUAGAAUUAUAUAACAAGCUUUUCAGGUUGCUGUAAAAUGGAUCCCUUUUAAAAUAUUUAUAGUGUAAUUGUAAACUACUUGCACAAAACUAAGGAACAUAAAAAUGACUUGAAAUUGCAACUGUGUUUUCAAACUAUAUUUGUGAACAGCAAAUCCAACAAGAAUGCAGUAGAUAAUACAAGAG